UUUUAUCAAAUCUGGAUAUAGAAGAGAAGAAGUUUUCUUUUAGUAGCACAAGUAUCCAGUCUCUAUGAGUAUCUACUCGAGAUCAGUCUAGAACAGUCCUCUUCAAGUUGAAUUUUUUUUCUCUAAGAAAAUUUAGCCUACUGAAUCUGAAUGAAGUCUAGAUCGCAAUCAACUCUUGAUCUCUUUCCUUGAUCUUCUUCUUCUCUUCUUCUCUUGCCUUUCUCCCUUGCUUUGUACUGUUACCAAAUACCAGG
rnacentral:lncRNA from 1 species